rnacentral:lncRNA from 1 species
UUUUGUUGAUAUUUCAGUAGUUCUGUUCCUUUUUAUUGCUGAGUAAUAUUUCAGUGUUUGAAUGUACAAUGGCUUGUUUAUUCAUCAUUGUGUGAAGGGCAUUGGGUUGCUUUCUGGUUUUAGAGAUUAUAAGUAAAGCUGAUAUAUACAUUCUAGUAUACGAUUUUGCUUGGAUAUUUGUUUCUUUUUUUCUUGGAUAAAUACCUAGGAUUGGAAUUGCUGACUUGUAUGGCCAGUCUUCAGAGACCUGAGAUUAAACUUGAAUCACUGAAAGAAGAUAUUAAGGAAUUCUUUAAAAUAUCAGGUUGGGAGAAGAAACUUCAGAAUGCUGUUUAUAGUGAACUGAGUGUGUUUCCUUUACCUAGUCAUCCUGCUGCACCUCCUGAACAUCUUAAAGAACCUUUGGUAUACAUGAGGAAAGCACAGGGAAGUUGGGAAAAAAGAAUUUUGAAGAGUUUAAAUAGUAUGUGCACUGAACUGAGUAUCCCACUGGCACGAAAGAGGCCAGUUGGAGAACAGAAAGAACUUCUUAAUAAAUGGAAUGAAAUGGGAACUGAUGAACCAGAUUUAAGCCUUUUCA